rnacentral:rRNA from 1 species
AUUGAACGCUGGCGGCAGGCCUAACACAUGCAAGUCGAACGGUAACAGGGAUCAGCUUGCUGAUUCGCUGACGAGUGGCGGACGGGUGAGUAAUGUCUGGGAAACUGCCUGAUGGAGGGGGAUAACUACUGGAAACGGUAGCUAAUACCGCAUAACGUCGCAAGACCAAAGAGGGGGACCUUCGGGCCUCUUGCCAUCGGAUGUGCCCAGAUGGGAUUAGCUAGUAGGUGGGGUAACGGCUCACCUAGGCGACGAUCCCUAGCUGGUCUGAGAGGAUGACCAGCCACACUGGAACUGAGACACGGUCCAGACUCCUACGGGAGGCAGCAGUGGGGAAUAUUGCACAAUGGGCGCAAGCCUGAUGCAGCCAUGCCGCGUGUAUGAAGAAGGCCUUCGGGUUGUAAAGUACUUUCAGCGGGGAGGAAGGGAGUAAAGUUAAUACCUUUGCUCAUUGACGUUACCGGCAGAAGAAGCACCGGCUAACUCCGUG